GGAGGGAUGGCCGAGCGGUUUAAGGCGGCGGUCUUGAAAACCGUUGAACGUAACGUUCCGCAGGUUCGAAUCCUGCUCCCUCCGCCA
rnacentral:tRNA from 1 species